rnacentral:rRNA from 1 species
GAUGAACGCUAGCGGCAGGCCUAAUACAUGCAAGUCGAACGAGAUUAAGAGGCUUGCUUCUUAUGAACGUGGCGCACGGGUGCGUAACGCGUAUGCAACCUACCUUCCUCAGGGGGUUAGCCCGCAGCAAUUCGGAUUAACACCGCCUAAAAACACAGGUUAGCCUUAUCCAAUGUUCAAAUAUUUCUAGUUUUCUGAUGGGCAUGCGUGUCAUUAGCUCGUUGGCGGGGUAACGGCACACCAAGGCGACGAUGACUAGGGGAUCUGAGCGGAUGACCCCCCACACUGGUACUGAGACACGGACCAGACUCGUACGGGAGGCAGCAGUAAGGAAUAUUGGUCAAGGGAGGGAACUCGGAACCAGCCAUGCCGCGUGCAGGAAGACAGGCAUCGGGGUCGUAAACUGCUAGGAUUCGGGAAUAAACCAUGCUACGUGGAGGAAGCUGAAGGUACCGAAGGAAUAAGGAUCGGCUAACUCCGUG